rnacentral:siRNA from 1 species
GACUGCAUCUCAUUGGGCGCCGGA